rnacentral:rRNA from 1 species
CCUACGGAAGACAGCAGUGGGGAAUAUUGCACAAUGGGGGAAACCCUGAUGCAGCGACGCCGCGUGAGUGAAGAAGUAUUUCGGUACGUAAAGCUCUAUCAGCAGGGAAGAAAAUGACGGUACCUGACUAAGAAGCCCCGGCUAACUACGUGCCAGCAGCCGCGGUAAUACGUAGGGGGCAAGCGUUAUCCGGAUUUACUGGGUGUAAAGGGAGCGUAGACGGCAGCGCAAGUCUGGAGUGAAAUCCCAUGGCUUAACCAUGGAACUGCUUUGGAAACUGUGCAGCUAGAGUGCAGGAGAGGUAAGCGGAAUUCCUAGUGUAGCGGUGAAAUGCGUAGAUAUUAGGAGGAACACCAGUGGCGAAGGCGGCUUACUGGACUGUAACUGACGUUGAGGCUCGAAGGCGUGGGGAGCAAACAGGAUUAGAUACCCGUGUAGUC